AUUGAACGCUGGCGGCAGGCCUAACACAUGCAAGUCGAGCGGAUGAAGGGAGCUUGCUCCUGGAUUCAGCGGCGGACGGGUGAGUAAUGCCUAGGAAUCUGCCUGGUAGUGGGGGAUAACGUCCGGAAACGGGCGCUAAUACCGCAUACGUCCUGAGGGAGAAAGUGGGGGAUCUUCGGACCUCACGCUAUCAGAUGAGCCUAGGUCGGAUUAGCUAGUUGGUGGGGUAAAGGCCUACCAAGGCGACGAUCCGUAACUGGUCUGAGAGGAUGAUCAGUCACACUGGAACUGAGACACGGUCCAGACUCCUACGGGAGGCAGCAGUGGGGAAUAUUGGACACAGGGCGAAAGCCUGAUCCAGCCAUGCCGCGUGUGUGAAGAAGGUCUUCGGAUUGUAAAGCACUUUAAGUUGGGAGGAAGGGCAGUAAGUUAAUACCUUGCUGUUUUGACGUUACCAACAGAAUAAGCACCGGCUAACUUCGUG
rnacentral:rRNA from 1 species